ensembl:snRNA U6 U6 spliceosomal RNA
AUGCUCGCUUCAGCAGCACAUAUACUAAAAUCGGAACGCUACAGAGAAGAUUAGCUGGCCCCUACGCAAGGAUGACAUGCAAAUUCCUGAAGUGUUCCAUAUUUUU